CGUAGGGUGCAAGCGUUAAUCGGAAUUACUGGGCGUAAAGCGUGCGCAGGCGGUUCUAUAAGACAGAUGGGAAAUCCCCGGGCUCAACCUGGGAACUGCAUUUGUGACUGUAGAGCUGGAGUACGGUAGAGGGGGAUGGAAUUCCGCGUGUAGCAGUGAAAUGCGUAGAUAUGCGGAGGAACACCGAUGGCGAAGGCAAUCCCCUGGACCUGUACUGACGCUCAUGCACGAAAGCGUGGGGAGCAAACAGG
rnacentral:rRNA from 1 species